rnacentral:rRNA from 1 species
CAGUAGCCACGGGAAUACAGAGGGUGCGAGCGUUAAUCGGAUUUACUGGGCGUAAAGCGUGCGUAGGCGGCUUUUUAAGUCGGAUGUGAAAUCCCUGAGCUUAACUUAGGAAUUGCAUUCGAUACUGGGAAGCUAGAGUAUGGGAGAGGAUGGUAGAAUUCCAGGUGUAGCGGUGAAAUGCGUAGAGAUCUGGAGGAAUACCGAUGGCGAAGGCAGCCAUCUGGCCUAACACUGACGCUGAGGUACGAAAGCAUGGGGAGCAAACAGGAUUAGAUACCCCAGUAGUCCCUGUCUCUUAUAU